rnacentral:rRNA from 1 species
UACGGGGGGGGCAAGCGUUGUUCGGAAUUACUGGGCGUAAAGGGCUCGUAGGCGGCCAACUAAGUCGGACGUGAAAUCCCUCAGCUUAACUGGGGAACUGCGUCCGAUACUGGAUGGCUUGGAUUUGGGAGAGGGAUGCGGAAUUCCAGGUGUAGCGGUGAAAUGCGUAGAUAUCUGGAGGAACACCGGUGGCGAAGGCGGGUCUCUGGGCAGUAACUGACGCUGAGGCGCGAAAGCUAGGGGAGCAAACGGG